rnacentral:lncRNA from 1 species
UGGAAAAAACCCCAUUCUUUGCAUGCGAAGUCGAGCUUGGCUAGCUCAGAAUCCAUUGAUUCUUCAGAAAGUAAGCUUUGCAUGUCAAUAACUGGUAUCUGUGAAAUCAAAGUAUCAUCAGAAAUGAGUGGUGAAUCUUGAUCUGGACGUAUGUAUCUGUCGGGGACAACUAACGCAGGAUUCUUGACCAACUCUUGAACACAAGGCACAAGGAGAGAACUUCCAAUCUGGGCCAUCUUUUGUUCCUCAAAUCCUUUCAAGAUUGCUGCAGCUUUGUAUUGAUUUUGGAACAAGACUGAGUGCCGACAAUCACAAAAGUAAAAAAGAAUCUUUUUCCAAGAAAUUAAUCAGCAUCCUCCACCUAACCAUUCAUGAAGUAUUUUUAAUUUUUUGCACAUGUUUAGAAUGCAUAAUAAAAUAUUCGCAGGUCAAAACUAUCCUCUAUUGAUAAGGAUAACAAAUCAUCAGCCAAUUAAUUAGGGUAAUUUUUAAAAACCUCCCCUGAGGUUUGGGCUUGUUGUAAGUAAAUGAUGAGAAUUGAUUUAUUUGUAAAAAAUUCUCUACCGUCAGUUAAUUUUAACAUUGACUGUUAGUUGACUGUGCAAAGACAAUAUUACCCUUAACAAUAAUUUAUAGACAGAAAUAACUAUAAAAAAAUUAAAAUUAUUAGUUAUUUUACCCUCUUUAAAUUAUUGAUAUUUUCUUAAAGUUCCUACAAGAAAGAUAAAAUUAAAAAUUUUAAAAAUUCUCUUUAAAUUAUUGAUAUUUUCUUAAAGUUUCUACAAAAAAGAUAAAAUUAAAAACUUAAAAAUAAAAUAGUUAUAAUCUUUACUUAUGAUAUUGUAAAUUUUUGGAAUUGACAAGGAUAAAAUUGUCAAAAAAUAGGGUUUGUGCUUUUCGCGCCAACAAUUUUAAUUUUUUUUUUAGUUAUUUCCGUCUACAAACUGUUGUUGAGGGUAAUAUUGUCUUUGCACAGUCAACUAACGGUCAAUGUUAAAAUUAACUGACGGUAGGAGGUUUUUUAUAAAUAAACAGAUUCUCGUCAUCUGCUUGCAACAAGUCCAAACCUCAGGGGAGGUUUUUAAAAAUUAUCCCAAUUAAUUAUUUGUGGUUCCCACCUUGUCAUCAACCCAAAAGGCAAAGGUAUUUUCAAUACUGCGUUUUGUUUUCUUUUUCCCUUUCUAUUUUUCUUUCACAACUUGGCAUUGAUCUCGGAGCAUUUGCUCUUGACUUGUGCGAGUAAUCCACCAUUGCGUGUCUGCAGUUAAAAGGACUUCUUAAAAUUUUUUCUAACACGCUGCAAUCUGGUGCUGUGUUGGAAUUGACUGUGCACUAUUAAGAAAACAGUGGGUUCCAAUUGUAAUCGAUUAGUCAUUUAUACAAUUAUAGCUGUUUAUAUUUAGGCAUUAAUUAUCUUUAUAUUUUUAUCUGAUAACAACCAAUUAAAACCUCAUAUUUUGCUUGCGAAUCCAAGUUCCACUUACGAAAGUAACAUCUGUCUCAUUUUUAAUUAUUGAUAAUUAUUAUUACUAUUAUUAUUAUUUUUUAUUAUUAUUAUUGGUAACAAGUUACAACUUAUGUACUCAUGCAAUGUGUUCUAUGGAGAACAAUGUUGCUACAAGCAAUACAAAAUUUGUUACAAUUUAUUGUCUUGAAUAUUUUCGGUAAAAACUACUUAUUUUAACUACAUGCAUGCUACUGGGGAAGGUUGUAAAACAAAUUAUCACAACAAUCUGCUUAAUGUGACGGAUGGUUAAGCCAAAUGACAACAUAUAACCCAAGCAUGUUGUUAUCUAUUCAACUUCAGUGACAUUGUAACAAAAUAUAUUGUUGAUAAGGAUGUAAUUGGACAAGCAAGCGUUAGAAUGGCAUGCUUAAGUAUUUAAUAUCAUAUUUGAAUCAUCUUUAACUCCGAAAGCAAGUGAAAUAGUUCUUGAAAUCUGAUAAAAACAUGACAAGCCUGCAAAAAUUCUAUUCCAAAAAUGAAAGACACUGAUCCAAAAUAAGCACAAUUAUCAUCAGAAAAUUCCUGGCACAAAUCUGCAACUAUCCAAAAUAAUUAUGCUAGCCUCGACCAUGUUGAAUUCUCAGGUCAUCCAGGUGAGAUUUUCCCCUAAGCUCACGAGCAAAUCGGCUCCUAAAGUAUUCUUCAACCGUCACUCUUCGAAACAAUGCAGGAGUUUUUUCAGAUAUCAAACUGGAUGCUGGAUAUAUUUCACCAUCUAAUCUCUUUGUGUAAAAUGUGGCAAUGGAAAGUCUUUCUUGUAUAGAGUUCACAAUUGCACGAUGCUCAAUGCUACAGUAUGUCCCAUUGGUUAUAAUUUGCAGUGUUAAAAAUAUUAGAGCACAUGAGAAGGGACAUAAAAAUGCCAAGGAAAGUAAUCAUAAUUAUUACCUCUAAUGUGUCUCCGAUGUUGACAAUGAAAGCAUUUGGCAGCGGUGUGAUAGGAAUCCAUUUUCCAUCGUUCUUGAUCUGGAGACCUUCUACUUCAUUGAUUUGUAGCAGAAUGGUAAGAGCAGAGCCAUCAGAAUGAGGGGUGAGGCCCAUAACCUUUUCUGGCUGAGGACAUGGAGGGUAAUAGUUCAUCCUCAUUGAUUGGAAACCAUUGUCAAAGAAUUCUCUCAAUUCUUCAUCUUUGAUAUUUAAAACUUUUCCCAUUUUCGAUAUCAGGUUCAUGGCCAAAGAUUUUAACUCCAUUGAGUAAACUUCCAAGGUGUCUCUACAAGAAAAAAGAAGGUAAAACAUUAGAUAGAAUCAUAGAAGGUUUAAUUUUCUCUUUUUGUUUGCAAAUCCAUAUCAAGCACAAACAGAGAGAACCUGAGGGAAGGAGGGAGCUUAGGAAAUAAGUGUGGCUUCCUCAUAUGAACUGGAAGAGUGAUCAUGGAGAACAUGUCAGCCCAAUCAAGCUUUUGUUCCUCAGAUACAACAAAGGCUUGUCCAAAUCCUUCUACAUCUCCUGGAUGCUGCCAAUAUUUUUUCUUUUCUUCCAUGCUGAGAUUGAAGAAGCCCUUAACCUCUUUCUUCACUUUCUCUAGAAAUGCUGAGCUUACUCCAUGGUUUACCAGCUGAAAUUAUGCAGGAAUGAACAGCAGCUAAGAUUUGAUAAUCGUGCCACUAGGUUCACAACCGUCCAGGCGUUUUAUGAAGACAGAUUGCAACUUAUUUGACUGAUUUAGAGACAAGAUUUGCUGUCAAAGAUGGCUAAAAGCAUUUGUUACAUUUCAACUGAGAACAUUGCUGUUGCAUUAAACACCAAUUUUAUUUUGUUUAUAAAUCUAAUCAAUGAUUGAUUUUUACAAGUGUUUUUUACUCAGUUUUGGAGAAAUUUGAAUAUUCUAGAACAGCUAAUAAUCUGCGGGAGUCUUAUACAAUUUACUAUAUCGUUUAUCACAUAUUGACAGAAGCAUAUUUCUCAUAAGCUACCAAAAGCUAUUGAGACAAAGUAGGUGAAAUUUGUCAUGGGCAUCUUUUAAUACAAAUUAUACUAACAAAUCUAUGGCUAUAUGUAAAGGUAAAGUAAUAAAGAAAGUCAAAAACAAAUAUAUCAAUGGAAUCUGGGUUUCAGAAAUAAAUGGUGAGUGUUUUCUUCUCAUAUCGCCUCAAAUUGUACAAUAAAACAAGAGACAACUUCCUUGACAUUUCACAAGCUGCGGUCCUAGAAGCACUGAAAGCAGCAAAAGGACUAGAUGGGAAAAUUUGAAAUCAUGACAUGCUAAAUCAACGGAAACUGGGUUUCAAAAAUAGAUAUUUUGUGACAGAGUUUUGCAGAUUUCAUGAUUCUUAAAUCACAGACAAGCAUGAAAAAUCUUUCUAACUCUGCUAAAGCAUUUUACCUGGUAAAAACCUCAUUCUUUGCAAGCGAAGUCGAGCUUGGCUAACUCAGAAUCCAUUGAUUCUUCAGAAAGCAAGCUCUGCAUGUCAAUAAUUGGUAUCUGUGAAAUCAAAGUAUCAUCAGAAUUGAGUGGUGAAUCUUCGUCCGGACGUAUGUAUCUAGGAGGGACAACUAACAUAGGAUUCUUGACCAACUCUUGAACACAAGGAACAAGCAGAGAACCUCCAAUCUUGGCCAUCUUUUGUUCCACAAAUCCUCUUAAGAUUGCUACAGCUUUGUAUUGGUUUUGGAACAAGAGUGCAGGGUGCAGACAAUCGCAAGAGUUGAAAACAAUUAUUUUCUAACAAAUCAGCAUCCUCCACCUAACCGCUCAUGAUAUAUUUUUAUGCAAAUGACUGAUCUGGAUUAUUUUAAGGGGACCAUUCAACAGCAUGGUAAAAUAUGGGCAGGAAAUAGACCAUCAUUGAUAAUCACAACUAACAAAUCAGCUAGUCGAUUAAUUAUUAGUAAUUCCCAUAUUACCUUAUACAUUAAUAGUACUAACGGACGAGCCCUCACCUCGUUCACCUUUUGACUCCGAAUCAUCCUGUUCGUAUGCUUCUUACAUGGUCUGAAGGAAAAAUGAAAAUUCUAGAAAUAUUUUUCUUAUUGAAUUCAGCAGCGGAGUAAUCGAAUAUUGGAUUAUGUUAAUGGUCAAAAGAAAUCGCAAGUGGAAAUCCUUAUCUAAUCACAAUAUAAAUGCCCUUUUUAUGGAUUGUUCAAUGUUCUUAAUUUUAAUCUUCACGAAGAAGAGAAGAAGUUGAUUUAGCAAUUUUUACGUCUUUCUUGUUCUUAUUAUUAGAGAGAUUUUAUUCAAAGUGGAAGAAGUUAAUUUAAACUCAACUUCCCUCUCAAUUUCCAUAAACUGUACAUGUAACUACAUGGUAGUUACCAUGUGCGGGUCGGAUUGGCUCGGCCCAUCAUGGGUGAUCCACCCAUCCCAUAUCUCCCAUUCGUACAUGAUGGGAUGACAUCGAAACAGCAGAGCAGUGAACAUAUAAAUAAUGAACAACCACAUAUCUUUAAUCAUACAGGUAGAUAUAUCAUGUGACCAUGAACAUAUCUAAAAAUCCAUUUGGUGAGUCAAAAACAUAUCUCGAUUGCUAACUCAGGCAAAAGAUGUCUCAAUUGCAAUCGUAUGCAAGAGAAUUUAAAAAUAUGUUCAUUGUAUCCUAGAUUUAAUUUAUUUUAAUACUCAAGCAUACUAAAUCCCAUUAGUAUGCUAAAAUUGCACAAUCUCUUUAUGUAUUCACAAUUGUAAUAUCCCAAAGAUAUUAUACAAUUGGUCGACCAGUGAAUCACAUAAAAGAAAAAUUAAAUCUUUUUAUCACACUCAUGUUCAUCAAUUCAGAAUAGUCGCUUUCCUAGUCAUGUUUCAUAGACCGAAUAAUGUAAAAGGUCAUAGAUAACAUACUAAAGUAGCAGACAUCACUCUGAGAUCUCAAAAAUAUAGUUAAUAGUCAUAAGGAUAUCGGGAUUGACUUAUAAAAAGUUAUAUAGAACUUACACAAUGAGAAAGAUGGAAGAUUAUUUCAUUUUCCAUUUUGGUUACCAAGCACGCGUGGUAUGAUACACGUGUUACAGUAAAUUUUCCAUUUCAGGACUAUAGAUCUUAGUCUAGUCACUCUUUUAGAAUGAACGCUCUCCUUUAGCGUAAAACGUAAGAUCUCACAUCUGGCUUCAAUCAAGUCUCCAUGAUGGUGGGGUAUAUCAUAGUCAGUCUAUAAUAUGGGCAGGAAAUAGACCAUCAUUGAUAAUCAAGUCGAAAAAUCGUGUGAGACCUCUUGAUUCUAGUCAAGGUAAAAAAACUUGUAGAAUAACGCUUUUUAUUUGGCUCUCAAACAAAAACAUGGUUUUAUUAUUCUACUUGUCUCAUCUCAGCUUGCUCCUAAAGCAAUUGAGGUGACCGCUUGUGUAAGAAAACUAGUCUGGACCUGACGACAUACUCUUAUAUAUGUGUAAUUGUGUCUUUCAUGGAAUAAAUUGAAAUAAGAGAUACUAUUACAUUUUCAAACAACUUAUGUAAUGAAGAUGUUUAUAACAAAUAAGUGCAUCUUAAUAAUAGUAAUUUAUAAUCUAUGUAGCCCUAAUGAUUUAGCAUGAGAGGCGAAUACAUCCCUUAUUACAGCUUUGGUAAGUGGAUCAGUUAUCAUGCUAUGUGUAGAUAUAUAUUGUAUGGCUACUGAUAACUCUAUGAAAUGAGAGUUAUCAUGGCACUUUUAAGCUUAAAUCAAUACUAAUUAGAAAGUAAAUUAUGUGUUUCUAUUGCAUUUUUGUUACAUUUUGCAUAAAUAAUCAUUUUAGUCAGUCUUAAUAAGUUUUGCUUGAUUUAAAGUAAUUUGUGCUCAAAUUGUGUGAAUAAUUGUAGGUUUCCAGAAGUUUAUAAUUCAUGGAAGGAAUGCUAUGCAAUAGGCUUGCAAAAAUAAGGAAGAACAUGGCUAUAAAAGAAUUGAAACAAAUCUGGAACAGUACAGUUGCUGUAGCAACCAUUGCUUUAGCCAUUGCUGUAGCAAUCUUGGAACAACGACGAAGAAAAUUCCGUGCGGGAUACUUGCAGAAUUGCAAUCUGUAGUUUCCUAAUCUGACUUAUGCGCGCUUUAGGCUUCCGUUUACCCUAAUUUUCAACUAUAAAAGAAGCACACAUCAUAAGGAUUAAAGAGAGCCGUCACCCAAGGAGAAAAACAAAAAGAAACAAAAGAAAAACAAGAUUCAAGAGAGAGAUUAAAGGCUGCACAAGAGGAGAAUUUGCAUAAAUCAAUUGAGAGCUCAAUCCUUCUUAUUCUUCUCUUGUUUUCUUGUUUUCUAUUUAUUUAUGGGAAUGUGUUUCAUUGUUGAAGCUUUGUUCUUUAUUUUUCUUUUACAAACCAUGAACUAAAUUUAUUUGUGGUUGAGUGAUAAACAAUCUUGAUGGUUUAUUGACUGAAUAUAUGUGUUGCUACAUGUUUACUGUAGCAGUUUGUUUUGAUAGUACAAGUUAGGAGAGAGUAGCAAAAUGGUCUAUCUUAGUGGAACAUAUCAGAACAAUACGUGAUCUUAAAUUGAACUUCCCGGAUUGAGUUUUACUUGAGUCCCAAAAGGGCCAUGCUUGAUUUAAGAUUAGUGAUGAACUAGACAUAGGGAUUCACCUUGUAGGGUAAAUAGAACCUAAGCGUGUAAUGCUAUAUCUUAUGUUGGCAUAACAAUUGAUCACUGUUAGGUUGCAUAUAGAUAUAAAAUAUCCAACAUGCGACGGCUGAGGAUACAUAAGGAUUCUGUCCAGUGCUAUAGCAGAUGCUGCAGCAACCAAGCCAAACAUUAGAAAAAUAGUCAAUACCAUUAAGAGAGUUUAUUCACUCAGCUACUAUAUACUCCCAUUAGUUUUAUCCUUGAGUUUGACGUGAUAAUUUACUUUGUUGCAUUUUAUUUAUUGUGUUUUUAUUUUAAUUAGUACAUUAGUUUCAUUAAUUGUUUAUUUUAUUUUAGCACAAAAUCUGCACUGUUAAGAUUGCUGUAGCAAAUCUGAUAACAUCAAUCCCUGUGGAGACGAUCUUGAAUACUCAUUAUUUUAUUACUUGUUGUGUAUACUUGCACAUUGACACCAAUAACAUUAGUAUUUAUACACCAACAAGUUUUUGGUGCCGUUGCCGGGGAUUGAUUGUUAAUUGUGAUUUGUGAAAUUAGUUUUAACAGUGCUAAUUUUUUAUUUUAUUUUAAUUUGUUUAUUUUGUUGAAAUAAGUGAUCUAGCAACCCUCGCAUGCGCAAAUAUAAAUCUAUUGACUUCUAGUUUGAUCCAGAAAUUGAAAGAACUGCAAGGAGAUUGAGAAGAGAGCAUCGGGAAUUACAAGCUGCUGUAGCAAUGGAUGAUUUGCAAAAUUUGAGAAACUUGAACUGUAAAGAGGGGAUACAACCAGUCAAUGUACAUGAAGGUCUGAAUGGACAAUGUGUUCAAAGGCAACCAGGGAACAACAACAUUAUUCACAUGGCGAACGAUAGAGAUAGAGCCAUUCGAGACUACGCAGUGUUGACUCCUCAGGCCAUACAUUCAAGAAUAGUUAGACCCGACAUUCAAGCUGACAAUUUUGAACUCAAACCCGUGAUGUUUCAGAUGCUUCAAACAGUGGGGCAAUUUAAUGGUGUGCCAUCCGAAGAUCCUCAUCUACACCUUAAGUUAUUUUUGGAAGUAAGUAAUCCUUUCAAGAUUGCUGGAGCAUCGUAAGAAGCAUUGAGACUCAGACUUUUUCCGUUUUUUUUAGAGAUCGAGCAAGAGCAUGGUUGAAUUCUCUACCACCAGAUUCUAUCACUACAUGGAAUGAUUUGGCUGACAAAUUUUUUAUGAAAUACCUCCCGCUAACCAAGAAUGCAAAGUUGAGGAACGAGAUCACGUAUUUCCAUCAACUUGAAGAUGAAAGCUUGUGUGAUGCAUGGGAGAGAUUUAAAGAGUUACUAGAAAAUAUCCUCAUCAUGGUAUUCCUUGCUGCAUACAGUUGGAAACUUUCUAUAAUGGUCUCAACCCAAGCACUAGAUUGAUGGUGGACGCUUCAGUAAAUGGGGCAUUGUUAUCUAAGUCUUACAAUGAGGCUUAUGAAAUUUUGGAGAGGAUAGCCAACAAUAACUAUCAGUGGCCAUCAACCAGACAAGUUGCAGCAAGAGGAACAGCAGGAGUUCAUAACAUAGAUGCCUUGACAGCAUUGUCAGCCCAAGUAACUUCAUUAACAAAAAUGGUAAAGGCUAUGACUACUGCUCCAGCAACUGUUAACCAAAUAUCUUAUAUGUCUUGCGUUUAUUGUAGAGAAUGGCAUUUAUUUGACAAUUGUCCUGGUAAUCCAGCUUCGGUUAACUAUAUGGGCAGCUUCAAUAGACAGAACUAGGACAAUCCAUAUUCAAACACUCACAACCUUGGAUGGAGACAGCACACAAAAUUUUCAUGGAGUUAUUAGAACCAGACUGCUGCAGCACCUAGUGGACAGAACAGACCUGCUCAACCACCUGGAUUUUAUCAGCAAAAUCAAGAGCAAAGAAGCAUCAACAAUGAUCAAUUCAGCUCCCUUGAAGGUUUGAUUAAGGAUUAUAUUAUGAGGAAUGAAGCAGUUGUCCAAAGUCAUACUGUAUCGUUGAGAAACAUGGAAAAUCAAAUUGGACAGCUUGCUACAGCAUUGAGCAACAGACCUCAAGGUAGUUUACCCAGUAAUACAGAGAACCCAAGAAGAGAAGGGAAAGAGCACUGCAAAGUGAUUAACUUAAGAUCUGGAAAGGAUGUUUAUAGUCCCGUUGGUGUACCAAAAAGAAGAAUUGAGUCCACCCAAGGCCAAGAAGACACUCAAGUAGAGAAAGAGUCACAAUCUUCCACUUUUCAGAAUGCAAAUCAAUACAGUUCUGCUACAACAUCUGCAGAAAGUUAUGAUCCAACACCUAGUAGUGAGGAAGCUACAACACCAACAGCAACAGACCUGAGUAGAGCAAAAGAGAAGCAGUCUGCACAACCUACUGCAGUACAAUAGUUUAGACACCCACCACCCUUCCCUCAAAGAUUUCAGAAGCAACAACAAGACAAGCAGUUCAAUAAAAUCUUAGGAGUGCUGAAACAACUACAUAUCAAUAUCCCUUUUGUGGAAGCUCUAGAACAAAUGCCAAAUUAUGCGAAAUUUUUGAAGGAUAUCUUGACAAAGAAAAGAAGAUUUGGAGAAUUUGAGACAGUUGCUCUAACACAAGAGUGCAGCCGAAUGCUUCAGAGUAAGAUACCGCAAAAGAUGAAGGAUCCAGGAAGCUUCACAAUCCCUUGCUCCAUAGGCACUAAAUACUGUGGCAAAGCACUUUGUGAUUUGGGGGCUAACAUCAAUCUCAUGCCUUUAUCAGUGUUUAAGCAAUUGGGAGUUGGUGAAUGUAGACCAACAACAGUGACUUUACAACUUGUUGACAGGUCUCAUGCAUAUCGAGAAGGGAAGAUUGAAAAUGUGUUGGUGAAGGUGGAUAAAUUUAUUUUUCUAGUGGAUUUCAUUGUGCUAGACUUUGAGGCAGACAAAGAAGUGCCAAUCAUUCUAGGGAGACCUUUCUUAGCCACGGGAAAGACUUUAAUUGAUGUUCAAAAAGGAGAAUUAACCAUGAGGGUGAAUGAACAGCAAGUGACAUUCAAUGUGCUGGAUGCUAUGAAGAGUCCCGAUGAGAUUGAAUAUUGUGAUUUUAUCAGUGUUGUGGACUUUGUUGUAGCAGAGAGAUUACACAGUUGCUGCAGUAAGGAAGAAAUCAAUGUUGUGACAUUUGAAGAACUUGAUGAUGAAGAUCAUGGAGCAGCUAACAUAGCAUGGUCAGGAGAGAAGCAACCCCUCAUAAUUGACGAGCAAAUCCAGCAAAUGGAACUCACGCCAGACCAACAAGAAUUCAAGGUUAAUGGGCCAAGAGUGAAGCACUAUAUGAGAGAUGAUGUGAACAGCCUAAAGACGAAUAUGUUCUUGAAUGAUCCAGGAUGAGCAAACAAGAAAGGUCAGACUAAAAGACCUAAAAUCAAGCGCUAAUUGGGAGGCAACCCAAUAAGGGAAGUUGUUUUAAGUUUUUAUGGCAUUGAAUUUAGCUUUUAAAUUAUUUAAUUUGUCUUUUUAUUAUUUUAAGUAUGCAUUUAAUUUUUUAUGUCUUUAUGUUACAUUGCAGCAAGUAAACAAAAUGUGGGCAAAAAGAGCAGGAGGGAAUUGCUGCCGCAUCACUUACAGCAUGACAUAUAACAGAAGAUUCUCAAACAACAGAGGCAUUUCUUGCUUUUGCAGCAGCAAAUGGAUUGAUCAGAUUUUUAUGAUAAGGAGUGUUUGAGAAGUAUAUCAAAGAAAAAGUGACCCUUUACAGCCUAUGCUAUAGCAAUGCUUCCAGCAACAGGGGAGUACCAUUACCCACUAGUUUAUUUUACUUCUUUCUGUAAAACUUUUCUUUAAUUUAGUUUUAAUUUUCUAAUUCAUUCUGCAUGUCUUUUUAUUUAGUGUAUGCAUGUCUGGUUUAUGUGGUUUUGUUUUGUGUGCUUGUGAGGACACAACACCACUCAAGUUUGGGGGGGUUGUGUUUUUUAGUGCAUGUGCUUGUGUUGUGUGAAGCUCUGUUAUCUAAUAUUUGUGUAUGGAUUUGAAAACCUAAUGAAGAUAAAUUGAGUGUUAUUCAGUAUUUAUGAGAAAGCCAAGUAGAGAUAGUUAUAGAUAAAGGUUGAACUUCUGUCCCAACACUUAGACUUUGGUUGAGUUUUAUGAGAAUGCUGUAGUAGAACCAGGAAAAAAAAAGAGUAGAAAAUAUCUCAAGUUUGGGGGAAAAUUUUUGUUGGACUGUGCCUGUUAUGAAAUAAAUUCUGCUCCAAUGGUUUAAGUUGCUGAGUAACCAGGGUUGAGUAUGCACCCUAUAUGCAAACUUGAGUCCAAAGGCAACACGAGCUACGAGCAGUGCUGCAGCAAAAGCAAAAAAAAAAAAGAAGAAAAGCAAAAAAAAAUGAUGAUAAAGAGGUCCGCUACCUAGGAUACUGAGUAACCUGGUCUGUUCAUGAGUCCCAUGUUCAGCCUUGAGUCAAAGGUGUCCAAAGGUAUGACCUAGAUAUAACAUCCCAAAUGCGUUGCUGUAGCAACUCCGACAUGUACUUUGAAUGAGUAAUUGGGUGUCGUCAUUACAAGUGAUAGGCAUUCACAUGAAAGCUCAAUGUUGCAUUGAAAGGUUUAACUGGAAAAAACAAGUAUUAUUAUUGUAGCAUAGUUUGAGUUUAUUUGUGAAUUCUACUCCCCUAUAUGUGAAUAUCUUUGGUUCUAUCUAUGAAUUAUAUGUCUAUGUAAUGUUGUAGCACCUCUGGAAUUUGAUCAAAGUGGCACACACACACUCUGGACAGAAUAAAGCCUAAGUCUAGAACUAGAUUGCUAUGGCUAUUUUGCAUGAUUAAGAGUGUGAUCUGAGGGUGGAAGAAUCCUUGCAAAUCUGAUGACAGAGCUAAGUUAUUUGUUGCAUGAUUGUGUGAUUGAAGUGUUAGCAUUAUUGUCAUUACUUGAGGACAAGUAAGGGUUUAAGUUUAAGGGUGUGAUAACUCUAUGAAAUGAAAGUUAUCAUGGCACUUUUAGGCUUAAAUCAAUACUACUUAGAGAGUAAAUUAUGUGUUUCUAUUGCAUUUUUGUUACAUUUUGCAUAAAUAAUCAUUUUAGUCAGUCUUAAUAAGUUUUGCUCGAUUUAAAGUAAUUUGUGCUCAAAUUGUGUGAAUAAUUGUAGGUUUCUAGAAGCUUAUAAUUCAUGAAAGGAAUGCUAUGCAAUAGGCUUGCAAAAAUAAGGAAGAGCAUGGCUAUAAAAGAAUUGAAACAAAUUUGGAACAGUACAGUUGCUGUAGCAACCAUUACUAUAGCCAUUGCUAUAGCAAUCCUGGAACAACGACGGAGAAAAUUCCGCGCGGGAUACUUGCAGAAUUGCGAUCUGCAGUUUCCUAAUCUGACUUAUGCGCGCCCUGGGCUUCCGUUUACCCUAAUUUUUAACUAUAAAAGAAGCACACAUCAUAAGGAUUAAAGAGAGCCGUCACCCAAGGAGGAAAACAAAAAGAAAUAAAAGAAAAACAAGAUUCAAGAGAGAGAUUAAGGGCUGCACAAGAGGAGAAUUUGCAUAAAUCAAUUGGGAGCUCAAUCCUUCUUAUUCUUCUCUUAUUUUCUCAUUUUCUAUUUAUUUAUGGGGAUGUGUUUCAUGGCUGAAACUUUGUUCUUUAUUUUUCUUUUACAAACCAUGAACUAAAUUUAUUUGUGGUUGAGUGAUAAACAAUCUUGAUGGUUUAUUGACUGAAUAUAUGUGUUGCUGCAUGUUUGUUGUAGUAGUUUAUUUUUAUAGUAUUUAUUUUAUUCAUUAUUUCGGUUGAUCACCCAUUUAAUAAUACAAGUUAGGAGAGAGCAGCAAAAUGGCCUAUCUUAGUGGAACAUAUUAGAACAAUACUUGAUCUUAAAUUCAGUUUCCCGAAUUGAGUUUUACUUGAGUCCCAAAAGGGCCAUGCUUAAUUUAAUAUUAGUGAUGAAAUAGACAUAGGGAUUCACCUUGUAGGAUAAAUAGAACCUAAGCGUGUAAUGCUAUAUCUUAUGUUGGCAUAACAAUUGAUCACUGUUAGGUUGCAUAUAGAUAUAAGAUAUCCAACAUGCGACGGCUGAGGAUACAUAAGGAUUCUGCCCAGUGCUAUAGCAGAUGCUGCAGCAACCGAGCCAAACAUUAGAAAAAUAGUCAAUACCAUUAAGAGAGUUUAUUCACUCAACUACUAUAUACUCCCAUUAGUUUUAUCCUUGAGUUUGACGUGAUAAUUUACUUUAUUGCAUUUUAUUUAUUGUGUUUUUAUUUUAAUUAGUACAUUAGUUUCAGUAAUUGUUUAUUUUAUUUUAGCACAAAACCUGCACUGUUAAGAUUGCUAUAGCAAAUUUGAUAACAUCAAUCCCUGUGGAGACGAUCUUGAAUACUCAUCAUUUUAUUACUUGUUGUGUACACUUGCACAUUGACACCAAUAGCAUUAGUAUUUAUACACCAACAACUACUUCUUUCUUUGCCAAAAUAUCUCUUACAAAAUUGUAUUUAGUCUCAAUGUGUUUCGAUUUGGUAUGGUAUUUAGCAUUAUUAGAGAAAUGGAUAGUAGCUUGAUUGUCACAAUAGAUAGUCACUAGAUUAUCAUUGAUAAUAUUAGUCUCUAAGUUCUCUAUAAAUCUCUUAAGUCACAUAACUUUUUGCACUGUUGCAGAACAUGCAAUAUAUUCGGCUUCCACCGUUGAUAAAGUCGUGCAUGUUUGCUUCUUGCUACUCCAUGUAAUUGUUCCUCUAUUUAGCAGGAAUACAUAUUUUGAAGCUGAUUUACGCUAAUCCAGAUCACCACCCUAGUCGGUGUCUGAAUAUCCAACAAGCCGCAAACGACCUCCUUGAUAGCAUAAACAAUAAUUUGCAGUGCAUUUGAGAUAUGCUAAAAUCCUUUUAACAGUACUCCAAUGCUUCUGACCAGGAUUAGACUGGUAUCUACCUACUAGUCCUACAACAUAACUAAUAUCAGGCAUUGUACACAUUAUGACACACUUAAGACUUCCAAUGGCAUUUGCAAAAGGAACUCUAAUCAUUUUUUCUUUUUCUUGAGGAGUCUUGGGACACAUAUCGAGACUAAGAGAUUGUCCUUUAGCUAUAGGGGUAUCCUUGUGCUUACAAUCAGCCACAUUGAAUCUUUCAAUGAUCUUCUUAAUGUAAGACUCUUGUGACAGAGCCAUAAUUUUCCUUGAACGAUCCUUAAAAAUUUUGACCCAUAAGAUAUAAGUUGCUUCGCCGAUAUCUUUCUUGUCAAAAUUUGAAUGUAGCCAAUCUUUAAUAAUUUUCACAAACUCUUUACUAUUUGCUGCCAAUAAUAUAUCGUCCAUAUACAAAGUCAAUAUCGUAAAAGCGUCUUUAUGUCUCUUAAUGUACACACAAUGGUCUUCCUUAACCAUCCUAAAGCUAAGAAACUAUAGCUUGAUAGAAUUUAAGGUUCUAUUACAAGUGGGCAUAUUUUAACUAAACCUAUCCAAACCGAUCCCGACCAUUUGGAUCGGUUUCAUUAGUAAAAAAACUAGUUUUGGUUUAUUAGAUUGCAAACCGACAUCACUCGAUUUGGAUUUCAGCAAAUCGAUCCAAUCCAGAAAAUUUAAAAAGCUUUAAGACAUAUGAUGUGUCAAUUUAUUAUUGGAUUAUUAACAGAAGAAAUGUACACUUUCAUACACAAUAGCACACUUCUUAUUAUAAAAACAAAAACACAAAAACCUAAUUGUCCAACACUCACAGCUGCCUUCACCUCCAGUGCCUCCUAUCAUUCUCAACUCUCUCAAUCUCAAUCGCUCAUUCUCAAGUCUCAGAGUCAUAAUUUUAAAAAUCGAAACAAAAGGGCAUGUUUUGAUUUUAUUUUUCUUGCUACAAUUUUAUUUUAUUUUAGUCAAAAGUUAAAGUGGAUUUUGGUAUAAUUGAUGAUAAUUUAUUUGAUUAAUUGAUUCCAUAGCUAUUUUUUUUUUAAUCUUUAUUAAUUAAAGAAGCUCUCAACAUGGAAGAUAAUUCCAAUGUGAAUAAUAUCAUAGAAAAUGGAGAAAUAGUGAUGGAUGAUUUUCUAGAACCUAAAAGUAAGAAAUCUAGAACAUGGGGUGGUCGUCUUCAUGACAGUGAAAGGGGUUCAAAAGUUUGGCCUCAUUAUAUCAAAGAUUAAGUGAAUAGGACAUGUAAGUGCAAAUAUUGUGGGAAGUAGUAUAAGUGUGAUAGUAAGUUUAAUGAGACUUUUAAUUUGUGGACUCACUUAAGAGAACAAUGUGAAAAAUAUUGGGCUACUUUAGAUUAUGUGACUCAAGUUAAACUAGCUCGCUUCCGUGAUAAGAAAAAAAAGUCUAAUAUGGCAAGUGGUAGUGGCACUAGGAAUAUUGUGUAUGGUAUUGGGUUGGGGCUUGCUGGAAAGUUUGAUCAUGAGGAUUGUAGGAAGAAUGUGGCAAUAUAUUUUAUUCUUAAUGAGGUUUCAUUUAGGAAGGUAGAGUCUUAUGGGUUUCAUCUUUUGUGCGAUAAACUUUGUCCUAGAUUUGGCCCACCUUCUAGGGGAACACUUGUUAGAGAUAUAUAUCAACUGUAUUUAGUUGAGAAUGCAGCAUUAAAAAAUAUUUUUAUUGCAAAUAAGUAUAGAGUUUCUAUUACCACAAACAUUUGGACUUUCAUACAAAAUUUUAAUUAUAUGUUGUGACAACCCAUUGGGUUGAUCAUAAUUGGAAAUUGCAUAAGAAAAUUUUGAAUUUUUUUUCCAAAUAACAAGCCACAAAGGGGACUUAAUCGGCAACCUUAUUGAAAAAUGCUUACUUGAUUGAGGUAUAGAAAAAGUGAUGAUUGUUAUAGUUGAUAAUGUGAGUUCUAAUGAUGUUGCUAUCAAUUAUUUGAAAAAAAAAAUUGAAAAAUUGGAAGGGUGAUGCAAUGAUUUUAGAUGGAGAUUAUUCACAUUUGUGGUGUUGUGCCCAUAUUGUUAAUAUAAUUGUGAUUGAAGGGCUGAAAGAGAUGCAUGACUCAAUUUCUAGCAUUUGCAAUGCAAUUAUAUAUGUGAGGUCUUUUGGUUUGAGGUUGCAUGUUGUAGGUUUUCUAAUGCUAUUGAUGUCAAUGUGCAAGUGUACACAAUAAGUAAUAUAAUGAUGAGAAUUCAAGAUUGUCUCCAUAUGUUGUUAUAGGAAUUGCUACAGCAAUUUUAUUAGUACAAUUUUUUUCCUAAACAAGAAUUAAAACAAAUUAUUAAACUAAUGAAAUAAUAAAAAUAAAAACGCAAUAAGAAAAAUGCAAUAAAGUAAAAUACCACAGCAAAUACAAGGAUGUUCCCAAGGGGAAUGGAGUAGUUGAGCGAUUAAACUCACUUAAUGGUUUUGACUAUUUUUCUAAUGUUGGCUCGAUUGCUAUAGCAUUUGCUACAGCACUGGGCGGAAUCCUUAUGUAUCCUCAGCUGUCGCAUGUUGGAUAGCUUAUAUCUAAAUGCAACUUAACAGUGACCAAUUGUUAUGCUAACGUCAGAUAUAGCAUUACACAUUUUAAAUUCUAAUUACUCUACAAGAUGAAUCCCUAUAUCUAGUUCAUCACUAAUUUUAUAUUAAGCAUGACCCUUUUCAAAUCAAGUUAAACCCAACUCAGGAAACUCAAUCUAAAACCAAGUAUUGCUUUGAUAUGUUCCACUAAGACAAGUCUUUUUUAAGCUCUUUCUUAACUAGUAUCACUAAAUGGGUGGUCAACCGAAAUAGUAAAUUGAAAUAAGUAUUAUCAAAACAACGUGCUAUAGCAAAUAUGCAACAACACAGAAUAUUAGUCAAUUAACCAUCAAGUUUGUUCAUUACUCAACCACAAGUAAAUUUAGUUCAUAAUUUUUGAUAAAACAAGAAGUAAAAUAGUUUCAGCCAUCAAACAAUUCAUCAUAACGAGAUAGAAACAAGAGAACAAAAAAUAAGAGUGAGAUCCGCUUGAUGUUCUUCUCGAAUUCCUUAGUUGCAGCCCCCAAUUCUCUCUCUUGAUCUUUGUUUUUUCUUGUGUUGUUUAUCUAUUUUUCUUCUCCAAUGACGACUCCCUUUUCUUUGCGUGUGUGCUCCUUUUAUAGCUCAGAAUUAGGGCAACUGGAAGCCUAGGACGUGCAUCUUCUAAUUUAGAAAACUCCAGACUGCAAACUUCAAAGUAUCUCGCGCGAAAUCUUCUCUGUCAAUGCUCUAGAAUUGCUAUAACAACGAUGCUACAACAACAGUGCUACAACAAUGGCUUCAGCAUCUGCAUUGUUCCAGACUUGUUUCAAUUCUUCUCUAAUUAAGUUCUUUCCUUAUCUUUACAAGCCUAUUGCAACCGUAUUCCUUUCUUGAAAUUUGAGCUUUCGGUCACCUAUAAUUAUGCAUAUGAUUUAAGUACACAAUUUAUUCUGAAUCAAACAAAACUUAUUAAAAGUAAACUAAAAUGGAUGUUUAUCCAAAACAUUACUAAAAUGCAACAAAAAUAUGUCAUUUACUCUCUAAGUAAUCAUGAUUUAAGUCUCAAAGUGUCAUGAUAACUCUCAUUUCAUAGAGUUAUCAUUAUAAAUUUAAAUCAUGUGUUGAGAGAGAGAAAUUUGAAUAUAAAGGGCUUUUAGCAUAUGAUGUGCCCACUAGAUGGAAUUAUAUCUACACUAUGUUGUCCAGAGCUAUAAACUUUCAGAAAGCUUUUGAAAGUCUGGAAGAAGAGGAAUAUGAUGGACCAAAGCUUUUUUCAAUGAGAGGAAAGCAGAACAUAUCAGGCCACCCACAGCUGAAGAUUGGAAAAUGCUGCAAUAUUUAUCAAGUUUUUGAAAUUUGUGAAUAAUGUUACAAUUGAUUACAAUGCUUUAUUAUCUGUCAUGUCUAACUUGUAUUUUCAUCAUCUUUGCACCAUUCAAACCUAGUUGCAUUCAUUUAUUGAAAAAAAGGAGGUGCUUCUUAGUAAAAGGGCAGAAAAAAUGAAAAUAAAGUAUGAAAAGUAUUGGGGUUCUGUGGACACUAUAUAUCAGCUGUUUAUCAUUGUUGUGGUACUUGAUCUAAGGUAAAAAUCUGUUAUUUCAUUUGAUUUUUUAUUUUUUAUGAUAAAAUCAAUUGUGAUAAUUAUUUACUCCAAUUCAUUUCAUAUCUAAGGUACAAAUUGGAUUAUGUGUCAUUUUGCUUUGAAAAUUUGCAUAAUCCUGAGAAAGCGAAAGAAAUUACAUCAAACAUUAAGAAGCUACUUUUAAAGGUGUAUUCUUUGAAAUACUAACUAGGCAACCCAAGAGGGGGGUGAAUUGGGAUUUUAAAAAUUAAGCUAAGCAAACCACACAACAAUCUAAUCUAAUGCCUUAAUAAAUUCGAAAACAAUAAAUUCAAUGAAAGCACAAUAAUAAAUGAGCAAGGGAAGAGAAAGAAAACUCAAGGAUUUUUACGUGGUUCGGCAAUCCCCGCCUACGUCCACGCCUCCAAGCACACCGGGCUUGAGGAUUUCACUAUCCGAGUCUUUCCAAGGCUUCAAAUGUUUACAAUUGACUUCAAGGUGUCAAUGAACCUUUACAACAAAAUAUUAUCUCUCCAAUCUCUUCACCCCAAGUGUUUCUCACACUUGUACACUCACAAUUUGAUGAGAAAUGAAAAUUACAAUAAUGAAACUCUCUUUAAGAGUGGAUAUACAAAUUGAAGAACAAAGAUGAUUUAAUAAAUGAUGAUUUACGAAAUUGAAGCUCAAUAUAUGUUGUGUGCACUUGUUUUUGCUUGCCAAGAUUUCCAAAAUUGAAUUGGUUUUGAGUUUAUAUAGUUUGAACUCAAAAAACUAGCCGUUAUGCACAUUUUGGUCAUAACCGGCUUACCAUUUAGGAAUCCGGUAAGCCGCUUUUAUGUUACCGUUAAGGCAAAAAUUUGAAUUUCAAAAUAUCCGGUAAGCCGCAUUUCAUAUCCGGUAAGCCACUUUUGAAAUCCGGAUUGCCGCUUGCGAAAUCCGGAUAGCCGUUUAUGCUCCAGAAGCUUACUGCCCAAAAUCUGGAUUGCCGUUUACUAUAUCCGGUAAGGCACUUGCUACAAUGAUUGCUACAGUGAACUAUUUUUUAAAAUUACUGUUUGGCCCCAAAACUUUCCAUAAUUGUAUUAUGGCCUAAAACGUUAUGAAAAUUUGCAAAUAGGUUCAAUUUUAGAAUUUCUAAGCAAUGCUUUGUUAAUCUCAAAACUUUUUGAAAUUAUGGUAUAGCCUAAAAUGCUAUGACACUUUUCAAACAAGUCUUUCUCUAAAAUUUCAAACAAUACUUGUUGAUUUCAAAGUUUUCAAAACUCUUUCAAUUAAAUCAUAAACUUGAAAAACAACUAAUUUCAUAAAAUCAUUUUUUCAUGAAAUAUAAAACCUUUAUAGUGUAAAAAUAAUGAUUUAUUUAAAAUGUAUAAAAAAUAAUUUGAGCUUAAAAGAUUAAUCAUUCUUAAUCUUGUUUGUUAUCAUCAAAAUCAACAUUAUGAAAACAUAUAUGUUAACAUUCUUAAACUUUCAAAUUAGAUUCAGUUAUAACACUAGUUACUUUAUUUUUUUUCUGUAAAAUGUAUUCAUAUUUACUUAAAUUUAUUUUCAUAGCUAUAUAAAACCUAUUGUCUUGUAGAAUCUACUUCUGGUGAUGGUAGCCAAUCUACUAAUGAUGUUUUGGCAAUUGAUGUGGGUUUAAGAAGGAAAAGUGGCAAGGUCUAUGCAUUUAUUAAUACAAAGACUCAAUAUAAGCAGUUAAAAGUGCAGAAAGAUUCCAUUGAUUUGAAAAAUGAGGUAGAAAGGUAUUUGUUCUAACCUAGCGAGGAUGAAACUGAUGAUUGGUUUGAUGUUUUGGGUUAGUGGAUUGCAAAUAGUGCAAGGUUUGGGACUUUGUCACAAAUUGCAAAGGAUGUGUUAGCAAUUCCUGUAUCUACUGUGGCUUCUGAAUCUACUUUUAAUACUGGAGGUCGUGUAGUCUAUGCAUUUCGAAGUUCAUUAACCCCUACAAUGGUUGAGACUUUGAUAUAUAGUCAACAAUGGCUUAAAGCAUCUGGUAUGGAUGAAAAAUAUAUUAGGAAGUUUGAUGUAGAAGUAUUAGCAUCAUACUUUAGUGAUUUGGAAUUAUGUACGUCUGUGGAGCAAGGUACCUAUGUUUUACAUAUAGUAUAAUUAUAUUAUUUUCUAAGUUAAGCAAUCUAACCAAUCAUUUUGUCAUUUUAUGCAGAUUUUGACAAAUCAAAAGUAAUUGGGCCAUAAGUUUUGAUGGACAAGAUGCACGAUAUUUUGAUUGUCAAAUGUUGUUCAAGUUUAUUUUAAUUUUGUGAGUUUGUUUUGAAUGAACAGGUUGAGAACUUCUUUAUUAUGAUGUAUUCUGUUAUGAACUUGUAUGGAUGUAUCUUUGAAUUGUUAUGUAGAUAUGAAUAAUAUAAAAGAGAUAUCAAUUUAGAUUAUGGACACAAAAAAUAACAAAUAAUUUAGGUACAACAAUAUAAAAGAGGUGGGCUUUUAGCUAAUAAUCUCAAACCAAGAAAAAAACCAAUCCAGUCGGUUUGGUUUAAAAAAAUUUUCGGUCGAUAUCAGUUUAGAUCGGUUUGAUAAUUUGUCUCAAAUUGAUCCAAACCAAAUUUGCCUACCUCUCAGUUCCAUUAUCUAGAGAAAUGCAAUAUUUACAUCCAUCUGAUGUAAUUCAAGGUCUAGAUGUACAAUAAUGACCAAAAUUAAUUGUAUAGAAGCAAACCUUACCAUAGGAGAAAAGGUUUCUUUAUAGUUUAUUCCCUCCUUUUGGGUAUAGCCUUUAGCGACUAAUCUUACUUUGUAUCUCUCGAUUGUCCCAUCCACUUUACGUUUUAUAUGGAGAACCCAUUUAUUUCCGAUAGUUUUAUGAUUAGGCAGAAAUUCAAGCAAGUCCCAAACUUGAUUAACGUUCAUAGAUUCUAUCUCUUCUUCCAUUGUUUUCAUCUAUAAAUCCUUAGCAGACGAUGUGAGAGCUUUAUUAAAAGUAUUUGGCUCUUCACUAUCGUGUGAAGUAAUCAUAAAACGUCUCCCUCAAUCUCAAAAUGACGACAAGGAAUUGACUUACGACUACUCUUCUGAGUUGAUUCCCUAAUUCGAAUCGAAGUGUCCGAUGUUUCACUCCCACUCAGAGUAACAAUCCCCAGAGGAUUCGCACUAAUGCCAAUAUCAACAUUAGAAGUGAUAACCCCAUUUGGAUCUUCUAAUUCAUAAAAUUGAAAAUCCUUAUCCACUUCUUCAAUGCUAGAAAAUUCAUUUUCUAAAAAACUGACAUUUGUUGCAACUUUUUCUUGUAUUAUUAGUAUCAAUGUGCAAGUGUACACAAUAAGUAAUAUAAUGAUAAAUAUUCAAGAUCGUCUUCACAUGGAUUGAUGUUAUCAGAAUUGCUAAAACAAUCCUGAACAGUGCAACUUGUGUUCUAAAUUAAGACUAAAUAAUUAAUGAGACUAAAUAACUAAUUAAACUAUAAAAUGUAAUAACUAAAAAGGCAAUAAAUAAAAUUUUCAUGUCAAACACAAGAAUAAAGCCAAUGAGAAUAGAGUAGUUGAAGGAUUAAACUCUCUUAAUGGUUUUGACUGUUUCUUCUAAUCUUUGGCCUGGUUGCUACAACAUUUGUUACAGCACUGGGCAAAAUCAUAUUGUAUCCUCAACUGUCGCAUGUUGGAUGUCUUAUAUCCUUAUGCAACCUAAUAGUGACCAAUUGUUAUGGUAAUAUAAGAUAUAACAUUACACAUUUAGGUUCUAUUUACCCUACAAUGUGAAUUCGUAUGUCUAAUUCAUCACUAAUUUUGGAUUAGGCAUGGCCCUUUUGGAAUCAAGUAAAACUCAACUCAACUCAAGAAACCCAAUCUAAAACCAAGUAUUACUCUGAUAUGUUACAUUAAGAUAAGCCCUUUUGUAGCUCUUUCUUAGCUUGUAUCAUUAAAAUGAGUGGUCAGCCGAAAUAAUGAAUAUAAUUAAAUAUCAUCAAAAUAAAAUGCUAUAGCAAGCAUACAACAACACAUUUAUACAGUCAAUGGACCAUCAAGAUUAUUUAUCACUCAACCACAAAUAAAUUUAGUUUAUAAUUCGUAAAAGAAACAUGAACAAUAGAGUUUUGGUCAUCAAAUGCAUUCUCAUGAUUAAAGAAUAAACAAGAAAACAAGAGAAGACUAAGAAAGACUGAGUUCCCGAUUGAUUUCUGUAAAUUCUCCUCUGAUGCAGCCCUUAAUUUUGCUCUUGAAUUAUGUUUUUCUUUUAUUUCUUUUCGAUUUUUGUUCUUGGUUGACGGCCUCUCUCUUCCUUUGCAUGUGUGCUCUUUUUAUAGAUAAAAAUUAGGGCAACUGAAAGUCUAGGGUGUGUAUCUUCCAGAUUUGGAAACUCCAUAUCUCAAUCUUUUAAGUGCCUCACAUGAAAUCUUCUCUGUCAAUGCUCUAACAUUGCUACAACAAUGUCUGCAACAUCUGCAUUAUUCCAGACUUGUUUUAAUUCUUCUGCAGCCAUGUUCUUUCAUUCAUUUUGCAAGCUCAUUGCAACAACAUCUUUUCCUUGAAAUUCAAACUUCCAAUUACCCACACUUAUGUAUGUGAUUUAAGCACACGAUUAUUCAAACCCAAACAAAAUUUACUAGAAUUAAACUAAAAUGGCUGUUAAUGCAAAAUAUCAUUAAAAUGUAAUAAAAACACAUUAUUUACUCUCUAAGAAAUCUUGAUUUAAGUCUAAAAAUGCAAUGAUAACUUCAUUUCAUAAAGUUAUUAACAUCCCGUGAUUCCAGUUCAGUUAAAAAUCCACUUUCAUGUUCACCAAUGAACACAUAUUGUUUGGAGUGUUCUGAGUAUCUAAUAAAGAUACGCUUUUUACUUCUAGCUCCUAAUUUCCCAAACUUAUGAAUGGAGUUAUAAACAUAAGCUGCAGACCCCCAAGGUCACAAAUGAAAUAGGUCAGGUUUCCUAGCCGUCUAUAACUCAUAUGAGUAGAACUAACUGAUUUUGAAGGAACUAGGUUAAAUAUACAGGCAGCAGUUAACAAUGCAUCUCCCUAAUAUGAUAUUGGAAUAUUUGAGUGUGCCAUUAUUGACCUAACCAUUUCUAAAAAAGUUAUAUUCCUUCUUUCCGCCAUACCAUUUUGUUGCAGAGUUUCAAGAAUAGUCAACUGUCUAUUUAUUCAUUUCUCACUACACAGUUCCUUGAACUAUUUUGAAAGGUAUUCAUGUCAUCAGUCAGUCCUUAGAACUUUAACAUUAUUAUCUAUUUGAUUCUCUACCAUGUUUAGAUAUAAUCUAAAGCAAUCCAAUGCUUCUGAUUUAUAAGAAAUCAAGUAGACAUGACCGAAACUUGAAUAAUCAUCAAUGAAUGUUAUAAAAUAUGAGGCUCCAUGUUUAGCCCUUACAUUCAUUGUAUCACAGAUGUUAGAAUGGAUUAAUUGUAAUGAUUUUUCAACUCUAAUUCCUUUGUCAAAUGGUUUUCUAGUUGUUUUUUCAGCUAAACAAUUCUCACAUAUGGGCAAUUCAACCUUGGUAAGUAAACCCAAUAUGCCCUUUCUCGUAAGUCUAUUCAUUCUUUUUUGCCCUAUGUGACCUAAUCAAGCAUGCCAAGUAAUAACAUCUAUUUUAUUAUUACUUAAAGAAGUAGCAUAUGAAAAAUAAUUAUUAUCAUAACUUGAAUUAUCAGGUAUUGUAUCUAAUAUAAUAAAACCAUUAACGAAAUGCCAGUUCUAAUAAGGACUAAAUUUAAGAAAAUCUCCAAAAAAAAAUCAUAAAAGUUUAAAUUAUAUCCUAAUUCAAGAAGAACAAGAAUAGAAACCAAGUUUCAUCGAAUCUCUAGUGCAUAUAGGACAUCGUGUAAUAAAAGAAUACGUCCACCAUGCAAAGUCAAUUUGUAGGUGUCUAUUCCUUUUGCUUCAACCCUGGAGUUGUUGCCCACGUAUAUCCAUUUAGUCCCUUGACUAAUUUGGUGAUACUCUACAAACGCAUUUUGAUCACGAGCUAUAUAGUCUGUUGAUCCUGAGUCUACAGUCUACAUAGGACGAGAAUCAAUUAGGAGUACAUAACUCAUAACUAACACAAAAUUUAAUAAAGUGGAGUUGGGCUCAGUGCACUCGCGAGCAAAGUGAUCGGGCUCACUACAAUUAUAGUAUUUCAUCUUAGAUUUGUCAUUUUUCUUGUUAGUGCGUCUACCCCUUGGGCGCUUCUUAGCAUCUGAAUUCCUCUUAUUAGGAUCAGAUUUCUUACCCUUCUGGUUAUAAUUAUGACCCUUUUGUACUUGAAGCUUGAAGCUUUGUGCGAAUUUGAUUCGGUCAUAUAAACACGAUCAAAAAGCUUAGUUGCCUCAAGGCGCUUUACUUCUAAUUCUAGGUGAUGUUCUAUGUCAUUGAAAGUUCUAAUACUUUCAUUAUGAGUCAUAUUCACCAUCAUGUGCAGCCAAGAAUCAGGUAGAGAUCUUAUUACUUCCUGGACUUGUUGUUCAUCAGUCAAAAUAUGUCCAGCAGCCUUAAGUUCGCAAAUCAUGUUUGACCUCUCCCUCAGCUGCUGCCUCAUAAUAUGAUUUUGGCAAUUCCGAGAAGAAUCAAACUUGAUCAUAAGCCUUGCAAUUUAGUAGUCGAAGUGCCACUGAACUUAUCUUUUAGAGCGAGCCACAUCUGUUGAGCAGUCUCUUAUAGCCUCUUCUACUAUAGUAGCGGAGUUCAUAGCAUGUAACGAGACAUCCAAUCACAGAAUAUGGCUAAGGAAUUACGUCACAGAGUUACACAUUUUAGAUGUUAUUGAUAGACCACUUAAGUUAUUAUGUGACAAUAAGUUAGCAGUGCUAUAUUCCAAUAACAAUAGGAGCUCGACGAAGUCACAGUAUAUAAACAUCAAGUUCCUAGUUGUUAAAUAAAGAAUUCAGAGUGGAAAAUUGUCUAUAAAGCAUAAUGGUACAAAAUUCAUGAUCACGGAUUCGCUUACUAAGGGAAUACCAUCUAAAAUUUUUCAUAAGUACACCGUUCAUAUAAGUGUCGUGUCAUUAAAGGAUAUUCAUUUUUAAUGGGAUUUUGUAAAUUUCAAAUGUUCUUAUGAUAUAAACAUUUUUCGGUUUAGGGAUAUUUAAGGUUAUUUUCUGCAGAAAUAAAGUUUUGGUUUAUUCAUUCACACUAAUUUUUAUAUGAUUUGAUCUCACUAAAGUUUAAGGCGGAUCAAUUGGAAAUAGGCAUGUUAAGAUCACAUUACAUGAAAUUUCCAUCCUACACGCCCAUAUCAUGAUCUAUGUCAUUCAGUUAUAUUGGCAUAGUGAGCAUUGAUGGGUCAAGUUACGAUAGUUGUAACAAAGGUCGUUUUGAUCCUUUGUUGAUAUGAUUGAUGGACCGAAUUGACUAUAGAUACAGUUUAGUAAUGACAGUAAAGUUGAGCUCAUAUGGUUAUUUUUGCAAAGUAUAAUUAUAAGGUUACAUAUAUAGCCCAAGUGAAAGGUUGUUGGAUCUUUAAUCUAGCAUUGUUAGAUCCUUGAUCCAAUGUUGGGUUUAUAUGUGAAUAAUUAUAUGUUGUGAACUAUUAUAUAAGAUUAAGACAAAUUAAAAAUGAUCUAUUAAGGUUUUCGAUAAUUUGGGCUUUAAUGUAUCUAAUCAAUUGUGGGCCUUUAAUGUACAGAGACUUAAGACUAAUUUCUAUUUCCAUGAUGGGUUGGAAUAAGAAUACAUAAAGACAAAAGAAAAAUUUGUUUAUAUAAAUAGUUAUUGUCCGUAGGUCACACGUAUCGUUCUAUUCUCUGUUGACAUCUUAUCAUUAGAGAGAGUGCACAGAGAAGUUUAAAGGAUUCUCUAGGAGAAUCUGUUAAUUUGGAAGACAAACUACUAGACUCUAGAGACAAAUUGUGCAUUAUACUAGUCUUGAACAUGUUCAAUUCUCAAGGCAUCCAGAGGAGAUUUGCCCCUAAGCUUGCGAGCACACAAGUUCCUGAAGUAUUCUUCAACUGUCACUCUUUUAAACAAUAGAGGAUUAUUUUCAGAGACCAAAUUGGACGUAGGGUACAUUUCACCAUCAUAUAUCACUAAGUAAACUGUGCCAAUGGAAAGUCUUCCUUGUAUAGAGUUUACAAUUACACGAUGCUCAAUGCUACGGUAUGUCCCAUUGGUUACAAUCUGCCAUGUAAAAAUUAUUAAAGCACAUGAGCAGGCUCAUAUAAAUGCCAAGUUAAGUAUUUUACUAUAAUUAUUACCUCCAGUGUGUCUCCAAUGUCGACAAUGAAAGCAUUAGGGAGUGGAGCAACAGGAAUUAAUGAAAGCACACAUUAGCUAGCUCAUAUGAAUGUCAAGUUAAAAUAACUUAUCAUAAUAAUUACCUCCAACACGACUCCAAUGUUGACAACGAAAGCAUUUGGAAAAGGUGUAACAGGAAUCCACUUUCCAUCCUUCUUGAUCUGGAGACCUUCUACUUCAUUGAUUUCCAGCAGAAUGGUAAGAACAGAGUCAUCUGAAUGAGUUGUGAGGCCCACAACCUUCUCCGGCUGAGGACAUGGAGGGUAAUAGUUCAUCCCCAUUGAUUGGAAACCAUUUUCAAAGUAUUCUCUCAAUUCUUCAUCUUUGAUAUUUAGAACUUUUCCCAUUUUCAAUACCAGGUUCAUGGCCAGAGAUUUUUAACUCCACUGAAUAAAUUCCAAGAUUUCCUACAAGAAAAAAGAAGAUGCAAUUAAAAGGUUUAGUACAUGAUUGUGGUGGAUUGUUAAACAAGUUAUUAUUUAACAGUAUUCUUUCAUGUUUGGUUGUCAAAUUUUACUAAAUAUAACUGACUUGGGAUCUUUCUCUGAACAUAAUACAUUUGCAAUCAUCAAAUAACUGACUAGAGAGAGAAAAAGAGAAACCUGAGGGGUAAAGAGGGAGCUUAGGAAACAAGUGGGGUUUCCUCAGAUGAAUUGGAAGAGUUGUCAUGAAGAAAAUGUCAAUCCAAUCAACCUUUUGUUCCUCGGAUAUAACACAUGCUUGUCCAAAUCCUUCCAUAUUUGUUAGAUUUCAAUAAACUAAUAGAAUCACAUUUGCAUUAUACUCCAUCAUAAAUUUGCUUAUAGUUCUUCUCAAGCUAUCGUAAGCCUAGACAUCUGAAAGAUAUUAAAGACAAUUUAAUUUUCAAGAAUGCAGGUUUGUCUUCUCAGCUAUACAAGAAAGCAAGUUAGAUGGUCCAUAAUCGGACAAGGUCAGUUACAUCCCUCAAUUUUCAAAAAAAAAAAAAAAAAGGAGUGCUUAAACCGGCUUGGUUAAGACUAUCUAGACUCAAAUUUUGUUACAGCUUUCUUAUUGCUAACUUACAGAGUAAGAAAGCAUUGAUACAGAGUAGGCCAAAUUUGUGGCCUACUUGACCUAUAAGAAUGAAACACAAUCUAAUCUGAAUUUGAUCGACUGUACUUUUUGAUUGAGAGUAUAUAGAUUUCUUAAUUCUUGACGCCAGACUACUAUUAAUAAACCAAGCAUGUCCAAAUGAAAAAAUACAAACUUGGGUGCCUCACGACAGGUGUAGCUUAGCUGGUUGUGAAUGUAAUUCGCAAUUUGCAGAUAUCUGCGCUCGAGUAACAAUAUGGGACAAACGGUGGUAUUUACUAGAUGAGGUCUCAUCCCAAGCAAAUCCUUUAAAAGCAAAAUAAUAAUAACUUGGCAAAGGAGUUUACCUAGAAAGAAGCCCAUUCUUUGCAAGCGAAGUGGAGCCUGGACAACUCAGAAUCCAUUGACUCUUCAGAAAACAAGCUCUGCAAUACCCGUGAAUCCAAAUUAUUAUCAGAAAUUGUGGUUAAAUCUUGGCCUGGUCGUAUGUAUCUGGGAGGGAUAGCUAACAUAGGGUUCUUGGCCAACUCUUGAACACAAGGCACAGGCAGAGAACCUCCGAACUUGGCCUUCUUUUUGUUCCACAAAUUCUCUCAACAAUAAUGCUCCAGAGUUUUAUUGACAAAGCAAAUGUUGAAAAUGUAUUAUUUUCAACAAGUCAUUAUUUGCUGUGGCCUUGUGUGAGACUAAUCCACCAUUGCGGGUCUAGGGUUGGCCCAUAGAUAUUUUGUGAAUAUGACAGUUGCAGUCUGCUGUUGUGUUGCUGUCUGCUGCGAAUUAUAAAAAAGAUAGUGCAUUGCCUUCACAAACUCUUAAGAAUUUGGAUACCAUGCUAAUUUCUUUUACAUGGUCUGAUGACAACCAAUCAAAAUCUUGUAUUUUUCUCAGCAUAAUAGCUGAUCAUCAACCGUAGUUCCAAGUUCAACUUUGAGAGAGACGAUCUGAAUAUGAAAUCCAAAGUUAUAGCUUUGCAGCUUGUGUAACUAACAUCUAUUUUCAGCUAUUGAUGGCAAAAUUUUUCGUUAGUGGUAACAAGUUAUGUAUUCGUCACAAUGUGUGUUAUGGAAUGGAAUAUUUAAGACGUGGAAGGACAACAUUGUUGUUAAAAAUCAAAAACUUGUUACUAUUAACUGAAAACUAUAACGGCUGAUACAGAAACUACACUGGUUCUGUGGUAAUAUUAUCUGUAUGUAUCAUAAAAAUUUGGAAACCAAGUCAUAUAGUCCUUGAAAUCUCAUUAAAAACAAGUCAGGUAUGCAAAAAUUCUAUUUCAAAAAAGAAAGAUACUGAUCUGAUAUAAGCACCACCAUAUAUCAUCGGAAGAUUCCAGGCAUAAGUCUGCAAUUCUUAAGAUUCUUACAUGGUCUAUUCAGUAUCUCAAAUGAUAGAGCUACACAACGAUCCCAGCAUAGCAGGUUAUACCACAGUAUUCAUAGAACUUAUUUCUUAUUUUCAGUUCCACACACAAUCUCAAUAGCAAGGUCCUUCAGAGUUUUUGUACCAAACUCUUUAGUUAUCCGAAAUAAACUUAUACUAGCCUUGACCAUGUUGAAUUCUCAGGGAAUCCAGCUGAGAUUUUCCCCUAAGCUCACGAGCAUACCGGCUCCUAAAGUAUUCUUCAAUUCUCACUCUUCUAAACAAAGGAGGAGUUUUUUCAGAGAUCAAACUGGAGGCAGGAUAUACUUCACCAUCAUAUCUCACUGAGUAAACUGUGGCAACGGAAAGUCUUUCCUGUACAGAGUUUACAACUGCACGAUGCUCAAUGCUACGGUAUGUCCCAUUGGUUAUAAUCUGCCAUGUAAAAAUUAGUAAAGCACAUAAGCAAGCGCAUAAAAAUGCCAGGUUAAGGUAAUUUAUUAUAAUUAUUACCUCCAAUGUGUCUCCAAUGUUGACAAUGAAAGCAUCCGGGAGUGGGGUAACAGGAAUCCACUUUCCAUCCUUCUUUACCUGGAGACCCUCCACUUCAUUAAGUUGUAGCAGAAUGGUAAGUGCAGCCGCAUCAGAAUGCGGCGACAGGCCCAUAACCUUCUCGGGCUGAGGACAUGGAGGGUAAUAAUUCAUCCUCAUUCCUUGCAGUCCAUUUUCAAAGAAUUCUCUCAUUUCUUCAUCUUUGAUAUUUAACACUUCUCCCAUUUUCGAUAUUAGGUUCUCGGCUAGGGUUUUUAAUUCCAUUGAGUAAACUUCCAAGGUCUCUCUACAGGAAAAGAAGAUGCACCAUCCUUUAUUUGUUUGCAAAUCAAAAUGACAUUGACAUAGAGAGAGAGAGAGAGAGAGAGAGAGAGAGAGAACCUGAGGGAAGGAGGGAGCUUAGGAAAUAAAUGUGGUUUCCUCAGAUGAACUGGAAGAGUCAUCAUGGAGAAAAGGUCAGCCCAAUCAAGCUUUUGUUCCUCAGAUACAACAAAGGCUUGUCCAAAUCCUUCCAUAUCUCCUGGACGCUGCCAAUAUUUUUUCUUUUCUUCCAUGCUGAGAUUGAAGAAUCCCUCAACCUCUUUCUUUAAUUUCUCUAGAAAUGCUGUGCUCAUUCCAUGAUUUACCAGCUGAAAAAAAUACAGGAACGAAAUGUGGCAAAGAUUUAAUAAUCGUGCCACUAAGCUCACAAUAGUCCAGGUGUUUUAUUAAGACAGAUUGCAACUUAUCUGACUGAUUUAGAGAUAAGAUUUACAAUCAAAGAUGGCUAAAAGCAUUUGUUACAUUUAAAUCUUCUCAACAAUUAGUUUCCACAGGUGUUUUCUAUUCAUUCUAUCGGAGAAAUUUCGGUUAUUCUAGAAUAACUAUAAUGAGCAUAAAGUUCUUGUGGUUUGUUCACACCUAGAAUUUGAAAAAUCAUACAACAGCAAAUAAUCUCAAUGUUACUUCUAAUUGUCUUUAAAUUAAAGUAAAUUUGCAACAUUGACUACAGAAAUGAGUACAUUUUCUAAGAGGUCUUACACAAUUUACGAUAGUAUAUCUUUUAAAAUUUUGACAGAAGCAUAUUUCUCAUAAGGUACCAAAAGCUAUUGAGGCAGAGGAGGUGAAAUUUCUCAAGACCGUCUUUUUAAUACAUAUUGCGUGUUUGACAUUUAGGAAUGAAAUAGCUAAUUAACCCAUGUCUGGAGGGGGAAAGGUAAAGCAGUAUAGAAAGUCAAUAAUAAAUAAACCAGAGACAAGUUUUUCUUUUCACAAGCUGCAGUCCUAAGCCACAGACAACACCGGAAAGUGAAACCAUGAUCUGCUAACAUCAAUGAUACGUGGGUUUAAGAAAUAAAUAUGAAUUUUAAUUUUGCCUAUUUGAUUGAGAAUUUGCAUAUUUCUCGAUUCUUGAUCACAAACAAGCAUGUUCUGGCGAAACAAUUUUCUAACUUUGCUAAAGCAUUAUACCUGGAAAAAACCCCAUUCUUUGCAUACGAAGUCGAGCUUGGCUAACUCAGAAUCCAUUGAUUCUUCAGAAUGUAAGCUUUGCAUGUCAAUAACUGGUAUCUGUGAAAUCAAAGUAUCAUCAGAAAUGAGGGGUGAAUCUUGAUCUGGACGUAUGUAUCUGUCGGGGACAACUAACGCCGGAUUCUUGACCAACUCUUGAACACAAGGCACAAGGAGAGAACUUCCAAUCUGGGCCAUCUUUUGUUCCUCAAAUCCUUUCAAG